rnacentral:sRNA from 1 species
GCCGGGUGCGGUGGCUCACGCCUGUAAUCCCAGCACUUUAGGAGGCCGAGGCAGGUGGAUCACCUGAGGUCAGGAGUUCGAGACCAGCCUGACCAACAUGGUGAAACCCUGUCUCUA